UCGCCCGUCAUUGGGGAGUAGCCGCUCUCGCGCCGCGAGAGGCCGACGUCAACACGCUUGGUCCGCUCCUGGGCCAUGGCGUCGGCAGCAACCAUGCCUGGCAAGACCUUUGGCCACCAUGCCUGCCGUUCGGCUGGACGGGCGUGGUGGUCAAUCGUCUUUUAUCCGGCCCGGACU
rnacentral:sRNA from 2 species